rnacentral:rRNA from 1 species
GCUAAGGUGAGGCCUAACGGCGUAGCCGAUGCACAGACGGUAGAGAUUCCGUCACCACCAAAAGAGUUAAACACAGGGACACAUUUGAAGUCUCGGAGCCGGGUGUUGGUUCCGGUAGCGAUCGAGGAAAGUUAGUACCGAAGUCCGGGAUGGAAGAUGGCGAGAAAAGCUGUGUGUAUUUCUGCGGUGCCCGUACCGCAAACCGACACAGGUAGGUAGGAAGAAGAUUCUAAGGCCAACGGGAGAAGGGUUGUU